CUGGGCAGAGGCUGAUGGAUGAAUUAAACCUGGCAUGAGGACUCAGGCCACGGAGAGACGAGGAACAGCCAGGGAUAGGCCAGACAUCUGGGGAGCUGAUCCUCCUCCUCCAUCCUGGUUUUCAUGCUGCCAACGUGUCUACUUGCCACUCAUUCCAGGGAAAAGCAGCCAGGCCUCAUUUUAUCCUCAUCUCAGAUCCACAGCAAGAGCAGAUGGGGUGAAGAUCAAACUCUCCACCACAGCCAUUCCCGAGCCCUGUGCUGCUGCCCGCCCUGUGCCCGCAUCAGACAGUUGACUCGCAACAAGCCUGUGAGUGACCUUCUCAGGCCCAUGUUUCUCAGAAGAGGAAGCUGAGCAGGAAAGAAAUGGAGUGAUUUGCAUUAGGCCAUCGAGCUACCAGUGGCAGAGCUGGGAUUCAGACCUGGACGCUGACCCCAGGGCACACUGGAAAAUACUGCUCUUCCCUCCGCUGAGUGGAACUUACACCAAAGCAGACCCCUGGCCUCCUGAGUCCAGUGUGCCCCUAACACUACCUUGUGGUCUCCCCAUCUAUAAAAUGAGAGCGCAGGACUCACCUGGUCAUCUCAAAGGCCUCUGCCAGCCCCUGUCAUUUCCUGGCCCCCAUCUACUGUUGCAGUCCACACCUCGUAAGGCAGGAUAGCCUGGUGGCUGAAGGGUGGGCCGCGAAGCCGGAGUGCCUAGGCUCAAGCCAAUGCUCUCAUUCAAUGCCCGCAUGAUUUCAGGUGGGUCACCUAGCCCCCACCUAUCAAGUGGACAACAGUGAUAGCUCCUACUGCAUACGGCUGUUGUGAGGAUUAAAUAAAUCCAACCACUAAAGGCUCUUAGGGCAGCGCCUGGCACACAGUAAGGCCAUCUCUGUGUGUGUGAUUCUUGUCUCUGUAAUGAAAUGAAAGCCAAAGUCCUGAUUCUUGGUCCUAGGAGGGGGAUGCCAGCCCUGAACUUUCCUGCGACUGGUCCUCCACAACCCCAGGUGUCCUGAAAUGACAUCUAUCCCCUGCCCCAGACAGGCCCACCUGGCUUCUUGUGUCCCUGGAGGGAAGGGAUAAGGUAAGAAUACAGGUUUUGGCCAGGUGCAGUGGCUCAUGCCUGUAAUCCCAGCACUUUGGGAGGCCAAGGUGGGCAGAUCACCUGAAGUCGGGAGUUCGAGACCAGCCUGGCCAACAUGGUGAAACCCUGUCUCUACUAAAAAUACAAAAAUUAGCCAGACGCAGUAGUGCACACCUGUAAUCCCAACUACACGGGAGGCUGAGGCAGGAGAAUCGCUUGAACCUGUGAGGCUGCACUGAGCCGAGAUUGUGCCACUGUACUUUAGCCUGGUCAACAGAGCAAAACUCCGUCUCAAAAACAAACAAACAAACAAAAAAGAAUACAGGUGUUGGGGAAUGAGGAAGAAGCCUAAAAUAAACAACAAAAAAAGCUACUCACGGUUGUGUUGUGGGUGGCUGGGCACUGGGAGCUGCCGGGGGCUGAGGAGUCCCAGUUGUUUUCUGUCCUCUCCCAGGACCUGGCCGUGGGUGCCACUCAGAGCACCUGUUGAGUGCCACCCCAAGCCAGCUUUCUCUUGCUUUUGUACUUUCUCACAGAUGAGUGAGUGUGAGGAGGUCUGGCCUUCCGUGCCUGUUACCACUUCCCCUCCAGGUCCCUGGUGCCACAAUGCUCUUGCCCCUGCGGUUGAGUUAUCUCUUACAACGAACUCUGGCCAGGGUGGGGCAUGGGCCUAGACCCUGGAGUCAAGGGACUUGGGUUCUAAUACAGCCUCGUUAAAAUGUUGAUUCACUUAACUUCCCCAAAGGCAAGUUUCUUUAUCUGUAAAAUGGGGAUAAUGCACCAACAUUACAGUAGAUCACCUAAAAGGACAUGCCAUUCCAAUGCCUCUUCACCACUAGGCCAGAGCUUUGAAAUGCAAAUGCCUACAGGCAGAUUAACAUAAUGGGUGAUGGAUCCUGGUGUGGGGCAAUAGGGAGUGGUAGGGACUGUGGGUAAUAGGGGGAACACAGGACCCAAGUGGAAAAGCUUGGCUGGAGCUGAGAGGUACCUGACCCUCUCUACUGGCCCAGCUGAGAGGUAUCUGCCCCACACCCCAGACCCUGAUCUGGGCCAGUAGAGAGGGGCAGGUACCUCUUAGUUCCAGCCAAGCUUUUCUGCUUGGGAGUAUAGGCAAAUUGUCAGAUAUUCCAAGCAUUUGGAAGUUGUGCUGUAUUUUUCAAGAGAUACCAGAAAUCUUGACUUAUGUGAUAGCUUCCUGUGUGUGUGUGUGUGUGUGUGUUUUGUUUUUUGUUUGUUUGUUUUUGUUUUGAGACCAAGUCUCGCUCUAUUGCCCAGGCUGGAGUGCAAUGGCGCAAUCUCGG
rnacentral:lncRNA from 1 species